rnacentral:SRP_RNA from 14 species
CAGCUACUCGGGAGGCUGAGGCUGGAGGAUCGCUUGAGUCCAGGAGUUCUGGGCUGUAGUGCGCUAUGCCGAUCGGGUGUCCGCACUAAGUUCGGCAUCAAUAUGGUGACCUCCCGGGAGCGGGGGACCACCAGGUUGCCUAAGGAGGGGUGAACCGGCCCAGGUCGGAAACGGAGCAGGUCAAAACUCCCGUGCUGAUCAGUAGUGGGAUCGCGCCUGUGAAUAGCCACUGCACUCCAGCCUGGGCAACAUAGCGAGAC